GACGAACGCUGGCGGCGUGCUUAACACAUGCAAGUCGAACGGGCCUGUCUUCUUUUUUGGGGGUGGGUUGAGUGGCGAACGGGUGAGUAUCACGUGAGUAACCUGCCCUUCGGUCCUGGAUAACCGCUUGAAAGGGCGGCUAAUACGGGGUGGUCCGGUUGGUCCGCAUGGGCUGGUCGGGAUAGAUUCACUGUUUUUGGUGUUUCGGCGGGGGAUGGGCUCGCGGCCUAUCAGCUUGUUGGUGGGGUGAUGGCCUACCAAGGCGGUGACGGGUAGCCGGCCUGGGGGGGUGGGCGGCCAGACUGGGACUGAGAUACGGCCCAGACUCCUGCGGGAGGCAGCAGUGGGGGGUAUUGCACAAUGGGCGGAAGCCUGAUGCAGCGACGUCGCGUGAGGGAGGGAGGCCUUCGGGUUGUGAACCUCUGUUUCCGGUGGUGAAGGCCCUGUCCGUGUGGUGGGGUUGACGGUAGCCGGGGAUGAAGCGCCGGCUAACUACGUG
rnacentral:rRNA from 1 species